UCCGUAGGCGGGCAAUUAAGUCAGAGGUGAAAUCCCACAGCUCAACUGUGGAACUGCCUUUGAUACUGGUUGUCUUGAGUUACAGUGAAGUAGAUAGAAUAUGUAGUGUAGCGGUGAAAUGCAUAGAUAUUACAUACAAUACCGAUUGCGAAGGCAGUCUACUAACUGUAUACUGACGCUAAUGGACGAAAGCGUGGGGAGCGAACAGGAUUAGAUACCCUGGUAGUCC
rnacentral:rRNA from 1 species